UACGGAGGAUGCAAGCGUUAUCCGGAUUCAUUGGGUUUAAAGGGUGCGUAGGCUGGCUUGUAAGUCAGUGGUGAAAUGCUGUGGCUUAACCAUAGAAUUGCCAUUGAUACUGCAAGUCUUGAGUACAGUUGAGGUGGGCGGAAUGAGUAAUGUAGCGGUGAAAUGCAUAGAUAUUACUCAGAACUCCGAUUGCGAAGGCAGCUUGCUAAACUGUAACUGACGCUGAUGCACGAAAGCGUGGGUAGCGAACAGG
rnacentral:rRNA from 1 species